UACGUAGGGUGCGAGCGUUGUCCGGAAUUAUUGGGCGUAAAGAGCUCGUAGGCGGUUUGUCGCGUCGACUGUGAAAACCCGAGGCUUAACCUCGGGCCUGCAGUCGAUACGGGCAGACUAGAGUUCGGUAGGGGAGACUGGAAUUCCUGGUGUAGCGGUGAAAUGCGCAGAUAUCAGGAGGAACACCGAUGGCGAAGGCAGCCCCCUGGGUCAAGACUGACGCUCAUGCACGAAAGCGUGGGGAGCAAACAGG
rnacentral:rRNA from 1 species